rnacentral:misc_RNA from 1 species
GCCUUCAGGAUCGCGCGCGAAUUGCCGCCGGAGCGAUCAAUCAGACCGCCCGCAAGACCUUCGCUGUCGUCGAGAAGCACUUUCAGGAUAUGCAGGGGCGUGAAUUGCUGAUGGCCCUCACGCACGGCCAACGUCUGUGCCGACUGGAUGAAUCCCUUCACACGGUCGGUAUAUUUUUCAAUGUUCAUUUCGGGUUUCCCUCAGCCUGCCAUUGUCCGCCCCGAAGGCACGGAUAUUAGCAUCUUCAAUGGGGUUCCGCCGCCGGCAUUGACGUUCCUCAACCCGUGGC